UGUAAGAUGGCUGAGUGCUGGAAGCGAAAGAUUGUAGCUCUUUUAACGGAGUAAUUCUCCUCUUAUAA
rnacentral:tRNA from 1 species